rnacentral:lncRNA from 1 species
CUUAAAUAUUAUAGGAAAACUAUAGAUUAAAUGUAAAACAUCUUCUGAAAGUGGAUGAUAACAGCAACAAUGCUUAAAAAGUCAAUUUCAUGAUUUUAAAGAGCUAGUUUAUUGGACAAUAUCAUUUACAAUAUAGUCAGGGCUCCAUUCUCAUAUUAGCAUUUAGAACAUCCUUGAUAUGUGCAUACAUUUUUAUAGGUACAAAGUACACAGGGAUUAUCAAAGUCCUUUUGAGCAUGUUGUUUCAAUAACAUUCAUGAUUUUCCCCCCAAUCCUGUUAUCUUUCCAUCUGUGACAUCUUAAAUCAAUCACUCAAAGAUCUUCAGCAAAGCAUUUACAACAUGAACUUCUUUACACAGCUAAGUCAUCAUUAAUGCUGAUAAUCAAUUCUCUAAAAUGACUUUGUAUAUUCACAUUUACUCUAUUCAAAGUUUUAAUUAUUUUAAAUAUGUUUAUUAAUUACAUUCCAAAGGAAAUAUGGUGUUAAUUCAAAUAAUGUGACUUCAAGGAAUUUAUUGUUUUUACUAGUUUAGGAUCUUAUUUGAUCUGGCACAGAUAUUCUAUCUUUGGUUUUCUAUUUUUUAAUAGGAAAUUUUGGAGUGAGAAAUUGAGGACUAUAUUAAGGUUGCAAAUUGUAUGGCCCCUUCAGGAUCCUCAUUGCUGCUAGGUGAUCCUACUAUAACUCUUUUAUCAAAUCACUAUUCCUCUAUAGAAGUUCUUCCAAAUCUUUUCAUGUCCCUCAAACUCUUAUGGUUCCCUCCUUUCCUCACUAUCUCAGCUGACACCCUUGCCUCAUAUUUUUUAUUAAAUCUUUUUAUUUACAAAGCAUUUGCAUGGAUAAUUUUUUCAACAUUGACCCUUGUAAAACCUUUUGUUGUAAAUUUUCCCCUCCUUUACCCCACCCCAUUCCCUAGAUGGAAGGUAGUCCAAUACAUGUUAUAUAUGUUAAAACACAGUUAAAUCCAAUACGUGUAUACAUAAUUAUACAGUUAUCUUGCUGCACAAGAAAAAUCAGAUCAAGAAGGAAGAAAAAAGAAAAAGUGAGAAAGAAAACAAAAUGCAAGCAAAUAACAACAGAGAGGGUGAGAAUGAGUGAGAAUGCUAUGUUGUGUUCCACACUGUUCCCACAGUUCUCUCUCUGGGUGUAUAUGGCUCUCUUCAUCACUGAAUAAGUGGGGCUUAUUUGAAUCAUCUCAUUGCUAAAGAGAGCCACAUCCAUCAGAACUGAUCAUAAUACAGUCUUGUUGUUGUUGUAUAUAAUGAUAUCCUGGUUCUGCUCAUUUCACUUAGCAUCAAUUCAGUUCUCUCCAAUCCUCUCUGAAAUCAUCUUGUUGAUUGUUUCUUACAGAACAAUAAUAUUCCAUAACAUUCAUAUACUAUAAUUUAUUUAGCCAUUCUCCAAUUGAUGGGCAUCCACUCAAUUUACAAUUCCUUGCCAAAACAAAGAGGGCUGCCACAAACAUUUUUGCACAUGUGGGUCCCUUUCCCUCCUUUAAGAUCUCUAUGGGAUACAAUCCCAGUAAAAACACUGCUGAAUCAAAGGGUAUGCACAGUUUGAUAAUUUUUUGAGCACAGCUCCAAACUGCUUUCCAGAAUGGUUGGAUCCAUUCACAAUUCCAUCAACCAUCUAUUAGUGUCCCAGUUUUCCCACAUCCCCUCCAAUAUUUGUCAUUAUCUUUUCCUGUCAUCUUAGCCAAUCUGAGAGGUAUGUAGUGGAUCUCAGAGUUGUUUUAAUUUGCAUUUCUCUGAUCAAUAGUGAUUUGGAGCACCUUUUCAUAUGACCACAAAUAGUUUCAAUUUCUUCAUCUGAAAAUUGUUGGACCAUUUAUCAAUUGGAGAAUGGCUUGAACUAUUAUAAAUUUGAGUCAAUUCUCUAUAUAUUUUAGAAAUGAGGCCUUUAUUAGAACCUUUGGAUGUAAAAAUAUUUUCACAGUUUAUUGCUUCCCUUCUAAUCUUGUCUGCAUUAGUUUUGUUUGUCCAAAAACUUUUAACAUGAAUAUAAUCAAAAUUAUAUAUUUUGUGAUCAGUAAUGAUCCUUAGUUCUUCUUUGGUCACAAAUUCUUCCUCCUCCACAGAUCUGAGAGGUAUCCUAUAUUCUUCUAAUAUCUUUAUAAUAUCAUUCUUUAUGUCUAGAUCAUGAACCGAUUUAGAUCUUAUCUCAGUAUUCAGCGUUAGAUGUGGGUCUAUGGAUCUAUGCCUAAUUUCUGCCAUAAUAGUUUCCAAUUUUCCCAGCAGUUUUUGUCAAAUAGUGAAUUCUUAUCCCAAAAGCUGGGGUCUUUGGUUUGUCAAAUAUUAGAUUUCUAUAGUCACUGACUAUUUUGUUCUGUGAACCUAAUUUAUUCCACUGAUCAACUUCUCUAUUUCUUAGCCAGUACCAAAAGGUUUUGAUGACCUUUGCUUUAUAAUAUAGUUUUAGAUCGGUACAGCUAGGCCACCUUCAUUUGCUUUUCUCUUCAUUAAUUCCUUUGAAAUUCUUGAGUUUUUGUUCUUCCAAAUGAAUUUUGUUGUUAUUUUUUCUAGGUCAGUAAAAUAGUUUCUUAGGAGUUUGAUUUUGUAUAGCACUAAACAAAUAGAUUAGUUUAGGUAGUAUUAUCAAUCUUUAUAUUUGCUCGACCUAUCCAAAAGCACUUGAUAUUUUUCCAGUUGUUUAGAUCUGACUUUAUUUGUGUGGAAAGUGUUUUGUAGUUUUGCUCAUAUAGUUCCUAACCCUCCCUUGGCAGAUAGAUUCCCAAAUAUUUUAUACUAUUGACAGUUAUUUUAAAUGGAAUUUCUCUUUGUAUCUCUUGCUGUUGGAUUUUGUUAGGGAUGUAUAAGAAAGCUGAUGAGUUAUGUGAAUUUGUUUUGUAUCCUGCAACUUUGCUAACUUUGUGGACUACUUCUAAUAGGUUUUUAGUUGAUUCUCUAGGAUUCUUUAAGUAUACCAUCAUAUUAUCUGAAAAGAGUGAUAAUUUAGUUUCCUUAUUACCUAUUCUUAAUUCCUUUAAUCUCUUUUUCUUCUCUUAUUGCCAAAUCUAGUAUUUCUAAUACAAUAUUGACUAGUAAUGAUGAUAGUGGACAGAUUUGUUUCACCCUUGACCUAUUUGGCUGUGGUAUAUUACAACCAGGGCAUGAUUUUCUGUAAUCCCUUUGCUAAUAUUUUAUUUAAGAUUUUUGCAUCAAUAUUCAUUAGGGAGAUUGAUCUAUAAUUUUUUUUCUCUAUUUUCAUCCUACCUGGUUUAGAUAUCAGUACUAUAUCUGUGUCAUAAAAGGAAUUUGGUAGGAGUCCUUCAUUCCCUAUUUUUUCAAAUAGUUUAUAUAAUAUUGAUGUUAAUUGUUCUUUAAAUGUUUGGUAGAAUUCACAUGAAUAUCCCUCUGGUCCUGGGGAUUUUUUCUUAGGAAAUUGAUUAAUGACUUGUUCUACUUCUUUUUCUAAAAUUUAUUGGCAUAAAGUUGGGCAAAGUAAUUCCUAAUUAUUACUCUAAUUUCUUCUUUAUUGGUGGAAAGUUUUCCCUUUUCAUUUUUGAGACUAACAAUUUUUUUCCUCUUUCCUUUUUCUAAUCAAAUUAACUAAAGAUUUAUCUAUUUUGUUGUUUUUUCAUAAAACCAACUCUUAAUUUUAUUUAUUAAUUCAAUAGUUUUUUUACUUUCAAUUUUAUUGAUCUCUCCUUUUAUUUUCAGAAUUUCAAGUUUGGUAUUUGAUUGGGAGGUUUUAAUUUGUUCUUUUUCUAUCUUUUUUAAUUGCAAGCCCAAUUCACUGAUCUUCUCUUUCUCUAUUUUAGCCAGGUAAGCAUCUAGAGAUAUAAAAUUUCCCCUUAUUACCGCUUUGGCUGCAUCCCACAAAUUUUGGUAUGUUGUCUCAUUAUUGUCAUUCUCUUGAAUGAAAUUAUUAAUUGUGCCUAGGAUUUGCUGUUUCAUCCAUUCAUUCUUUAGGAUGAAAUUAUUUAGUUUCCAAUUACUUUUUGGUCUAUUUUCCCCUGGCCUUUUAAUUUUUAUUGCAUUGUGAUCCGAGAAAAAUGCAUUUACUAUUUAUGCCUUUCUGCAUUUGAUUUUGACGUCUUUAUGUCCUAAUAUAUGGUCAGUUUUUUAUAGGUUCCAUGAACUGCCAAGUAGAACAUGUACUCCCUUCUGUCUCCAUUCAAUUUUCUCCAAAGAUCUCUCACAUCUAGCUUAUCUAGUAUUGUAUUUACCUCUUUAGCUUCUUUCUUAUUUAUUUUGUUGUUUUAUUUAUCUAGUUCUGAGAGAGCAAGGUUGACAUCUCCCAGUAUUAUAGUUUUGCUAUCUAUUUCUUCUUACAACUCUUUUACCUUUUCCUUUAGGAAUUUAGAUGCUCUAUCACUUGGUGCAUAUAUGUUUAAUAUUGAUAUUGUUUCAUUAUCUAUGGUAUCCUUUAGCAAAUUAUAGUUUCCUUCCUUAUCUCUUUUAAUUAGAUCAUUUUUUGCUUUUGCUUGAUCUGACAUCAGGAAGGCUGCCCCUGUUUUUUUUUUUUUUUUUUUUUUUACUUCACCUGAUGCAUAAUAGAUUCUGCUCCAGUCCUUUACCUUUAUUCUAUUAUAUAUCACUCUGUUUUAAAUGUAUUUCUUGUAAACAGCAUAUUGUAGGAUUCUGGCAUUUAAUCAGUCUGCUAUUUGCUUAGGCUUUAUGGGAGAGUUCACCCCAUUCAGAUUUACAGUUAAAACUACUAAUUCUGUAUUUACCAUUUUAUUAACCCCAAAUUAUACUUUUCUCUUUCCUUUUCCCUUUUUCUUCCUCCCCAGUAUUUUAUUUAUGAGCACUACUUGCCUCAACCAGUUCUCCUUCUUUAGAGACCCUCCCCCUUUCUUAUACCUUUCCCUAUUAUUUCUGUUUUACCUUCUAUUUAGCUUACCCCUUCCCUUUUCCCCUUUCCCCUCCCACUUUUCUAUAAGAUGAGAGAUGUUUCUCGGUGAAAUCAAAUAUAUCUAAUAUUCUUUCUUUAAGCCAAAUCUGAUGAAAGUAGAAUUCACACAAUAUUUAUCACCCUCCCUUCUUUCCCUCUAUUAUAAUAGGUUUUGUCUAUUCUUGAGAUGUAAUUUCCCUCAUUUUAUCUCCACUUUCUCCUUUUUUGGGGUACAAUUCCCUUUUCACCUUUAGUUUCUUUUUUUAUAUUAUAACAGUAAAAUCAGAUUAUACAUGUAUGUAUUCCCAUAACAUAAAUACAGUUCUCAAGUUUUGUUUUCUAUUUUACCUUUUUAUGCUUCUCUUAAAUUCUCUGUUUGGAGGUCAAAUUUUUUACUUAGCUCUGGUCUUUUAUUCAAAGAUACAUGGAAUUCACUUGUUUCAUUGAAUGUCCAUCUUUUUCCCUGAAAGAAAAUGCUCAGUUUAUCAGGGUAAUUUAUUCUUUGCUGCAUUCCAAUUUCCUUCGCCUUUCAGUAUAUCAGAUUUCAGGAACUUUGAUCCUUUAAAGUGGAAGCUGCUAGGUCCUGAGUAAUCCUUAUUGUGACUCUGUAUUUGAAUUGUCUUUCUGGCUGCUUAUAAUAUUUUUUCCUUGAUACAAUAGUUCUGAAAUUUAGCCAUAAUAUUCCUUGGAAUUUUAAAUUUCAGAGUCUUUUUCAAGAGGUGAAUUCUUUCAAUGGUUAUUUUACCUUCUGAUUAUGACAUCCAGGAAGUUCUCUGAUGAUUUCCUGAAAAAUAGUAUCUGGGUUCUUUUUUUCAUCAUGAUUUUCAGGGAGUCUAGUAAUCCUUAGAUUGUCUCUCCUAGAUCUAUUUUCCAGGUCAGUUGUUUUCCCAAUUAGGUAUUUUCUAUUUUUUAAUUUUUUUGGUUUUGCUUGACUGAUUCUUGUCUCAUUGGGUCAUUCAUUUCCAUUUGUUCAGGUCUGAAUUUUAGUGAAUUAUUUUCUUCACUUACUUAUUUACUUCUUUUUGUAUUUGUCCAAUUGAAUUUUUAAUGAGUUAUUUUGUUCUAUGGAAUUUUUUCCAUUUCACAAAUUCUGUUUUUUAAGGAGUUAUUUCUUUUUCUUUUAUUUUCACAAAUUCUGUUUUUCUGGGAGUUGUUUUUUUCUCCCCCAUUUUAUCAAACCUAUCUUUUAAUGAGUUAUAUGUCUUUUCCAAACCCUCUUGCAAAGUGUUCAUUUCCUUUCCACAUUUUUCUUCUGGCUCUCUUUUAAGAUUCUUUUUAAUUUCUUCUAGGAGAGCCUUGUGUGAUGGGGACUAGGUCAUAUCACCUUUUAGGGCUUCAUAUGGAGACAAUCCGCCUUUAGUCUCCUCGGGGUUUGAAAACUAUUCUUCUCUUUCACCAUAAAAGUUAUCUAUCAUCAGUCCUCUUUCCUUUUUUUUUUUUACUCAUUUUUUUUUAAGUUAAGAUCUGCUUUUAGGGGAGGAGAGGUGUUCCAAGCUUCCUCUACAAGUGGAGGCUUCCUCUUUAUGGAAAAAAUGAGACCAUUUUUGAUGAGCUCCCUCUUCUCCCCUCUUUUUCAUCUUCUGUCACUCAGAUACCUUUUUCUACUUUCUACUCCUUCACCCUUCUUGCACAUGAUGAAGUGGCCUCAUUUUUUUUUUUAACAAUACUAACAUCUUCACCUGGUCAGGUGAUCCAAUUCCAUCUUGUCUCCUCAUACAGGUUGUCCCCUCUGUCACCCCCAAUCCACUUUAUUUUCAGUCUCUCCCUUUCUACUGGUUCAUUUCCUACUAUCUACAAAUAUGCCCAAAUCUCUCCUAUUAUGAAAAAAAUAAAACAAAACAAAACAAACUUCACUUGAUUCUUCCAUCCUAAGUCUUAUCCCAUAUCUCACCUAUCCUGAUUUCUUGACUGUCAAAUUGCCUUUUCUCAUUCCUUCUCCUACACUUCUCUGAAACUUUUGACACUAUUAUUUUUUCCUCUUUGAUACUCCCUUCUCUCUAGGUUUUAAAAACCAGCCUUUUCUGAUGUUUCUCUUAGCUCUGACUGCUCCUUCUCUGUCUCCUUUAUUAGAUUUUCCUCCAGAUCACACUUUUU